AUUGAACGCUGGCGGCAGGCCUAACACAUGCGAGUCGAACGGUAACAGGAAGAAGCUUGCUUCUUUGCUGACGAGUGGCGGACGGGUGAGUAAUGUCUGGGAAACUGCCUGAUGGAGGGGGAUAACUACUGGAAACGGUAGCUAAUACCGCAUAACGUCGCAAGACCAAAGAGGGGGACCUUCGGGCCUCUUGCCAUCGGAUGUGCCCAGAUGGGAUUAGCUAGUAGGUGGGGUAACGGCUCACCUAGGCGACGAUCCCUAGCUGGUCUGAGAGGAUGACCAGCCACACUGGAACUGAGACACGGUCCAGACUCCUGCGGGAGGCAGCAGUGGGGAAUAUUGCACAAUGGGCGCAAGCCUGAUGCAGCCAUGCCGCGUGUAUGAAGAAGGCCUACGGGUUGUAAAGUACUUUCAGCGGGGAGGAAGGGAGUAAAGUUAAUACCUUUGCUCAUUGACGUUACCCGCAGAAGAAGCACCGGCUAACUCCGUG
rnacentral:rRNA from 1 species